GUAGGGUGCAAGCGUUAAUCGGAAUUACUGGGCGUAAAGCGUACGCAGGCGGCUUUGCAAGACAGGUGUGAAAUCCCCGGGCCUAACCUGGGAACUGCAUUUGUGACUGCAUGGCUAGAGUUUGUCAGAGGGGGGUGGAAUUCCACGUGUAGCAGUGAAAUGCGUAGAGAUGUGGAAGAACACCGAUGGCGAAGGCAGCCCCCUGGGAUCUGACUGACGCUCAUGUACGAAAGCGUGGGGAGCAAACAGGAUUAGAUACCCUGGUAGUCCACGCCCUAAACGAUGUCGACUAGUUGUCGGAGGGUAACUCCUUCGGUAACGCAGCUAACGCGUGAAGUCGACCGCCUGGGGAGUACGGUCGCAAGAUUAAA
rnacentral:rRNA from 1 species